GGACAUCUAAAUAUAAGCUAUAACACCACUCCAUGUGUGACUCUCUCAAAGCUUCAUACUUGGUCAAAGAGAAGACCUUACUGGACAGAGGAAGACUGUUCUUCAGUCAAAAUUAUAGAAUAGCUGUGAUCUCCUGCUAGAACCUCCAAAGAAGAUCUCAGGAAUAGAAAUCAUAACUAAAAGCCAAGCAUGAUGGCUCAGACUUGCAAUCCCAGCUCCUUGGAAGGCAGAGG
rnacentral:snRNA from 1 species